ACGUACAUUUAAACAUUAGAGCUUUUAUGAGAGCCCACCCAAUUUCCUGUUCUGAUGGUGAAUGAGUGGGUGGGCAUCGUUUUCGCGGAAGAUCCGAACUUCUUUCACUAUUUGGAUGCCUUGUCAGAAAGUUGACAACCAUUGUCCUGGGUCAUAGUUGUUCAAGAUAGAUCUUGAUUGGUGGGAAAUCAAUUAAUUUUUAUCUUAUCAAGGAGCGACCAUCUUGGAUGAGACGGACCAGGAGGAAGAGGAGAAGCAAGCACGUCCAAUUUCAUGGGUGUUCUCUGUUGGCCGAUUUUAGGGUUGAAACCUUGGAUUUUCGUGCCUGGAGGUCCCGAAGGAUUGCGGGGAAACGAAGUCAUCAAAAGACUAUUUUGACAGAUGGAGGAUCAGGAGAAGCGAAAGGUUUGGGAGAGCCCUGGUACCAAUUACGAGGUUUUGGCACUCCCUUUUGACAGACUCAAAUCCAGAUAAUACAAUGAUACUGUCAUAACCCAACUCACCCACCAACCUGUUCACGCCCGACCACCCUCAACACGAUUCACGAAUGCCAAAGAACGAGAAAGACGUGUCAUUUGGUGCCCUUAUUGGGCCCGACCGAAGGUGUCCAGAACCCCCAAUUUUCUGGCAUUCAUCGCGAUUCACUUUCACCCUUCACCCUGGUUUUGUCAAGCCGUACAGCUAGUUUACUGCCAUGGUGUUUGCUGGUAUCUGGGUGAUCGUGCCAGCAAUGCUAACCAUCACCUUGGCUCACGCUAUUGGUCUUGAGGAUGGUUGCUGUGCUGGAUCUAGGAUCUAGGGCACACAUCCAAGGGUGGUUUUCGAUGACGACCUUAUAUUGACUUGGAUUUCAUUUAUCUAUCAGCGUGAACCACACGAUCAUGUUGUUUUUUCCACGCAUGCGACAGAUCAUCGAGCAAGAUGACGCCACUCAAACCACACAGUCUCAAAAGGCCCAUCACUUUGACAUUCUACCCGGAGUGAAGGUGUAAAUAUUACCAAAGUCAAAUGUGAACCGAUUUUGACCUCUUUUGGUCAAUAUUGAGAGGGAUAGGGAAACAGUCUUUUAUCAAACGUCUUUUACUCCCUGGCACUGGCCCUUUGCACGCACAAUCAUAGGUAUUCAUGUGCGGGGUUGGCAAUUUCACCAGUGAUCCAGCGGCUCUCGCUCAAAUUUCUCGACGUUACACCUCAAAGAAGGUCGUAAAUUUUGUAAUAAGAAUAACACGUUAGGUGGACUGGACCAAGCUGAGGGAGGGAAGGCGGCAAUUCCUAUAAAUCUCAAGUGCCCAAUUUUUUUCGAGUCUAUUCGUCCGACGUACGGUGGACUCCUCCUGCCAAUGCCAAUUGCACAGAGAGAGGGUUGAUCAUCCGAGAGAAAUCGCAGAUUACAAUCACACCGGUCUACAACACAAGGAAAAAAAUCAGGCAUCUCUCAAAGAUUUUCAAAUGAUGAUCAUAGGAGGGAAGUAGGGAGGGGGGAUGCUUCGCCAACCUUGCUUGUCCGAUGAAAUACAUACACCUGAUCAGUACUAUCACGGGUCAAGAAUCUACGUAGAAUCCCGAGAUUGAGCGAGCGAGGAGGGAUUGGUUGGCUGAAUUGAAUGCAAUCCACACGACGAGAUGAGAAGAAUCUCAAACCGACAAGAAACAUCGUUCAGAUUGAAGGAGUUUUCGGAAUGCGAUUUGGCCCCUAGAUUAGAUGAGGUUUCAGGAUGCAAAUCAGAGCGAAUUCCGCAUCCCGAUUUUCCACCACCAAGUGGACAAAUUGCUGGUCCAUUGGUCACC